AUGAACGCUAGCUACAGGCUUAACACAUGCAAGUCGAGGGGCAGCAUGGUCUUAGCUUGCUAAGGCUGAUGGCGACCGGCGCACGGGUGAGUAACACGUAUCCAACCUGCCGUCUACUCUUGGCCAGCCUUCUGAAAGGAAGAUUAAUCCAGGAUGGGAUCAUGAGUUCACAUGUCCGCAUGAUUAAAGGUAUUUUCCGGUAGACGAUGGGGAUGCGUUCCAUUAGAUAGUAGGCGGGGUAACGGCCCACCUAGUCAACGAUGGAUAGGGGUUCUGAGAGGAAGGUCCCCCACAUUGGAACUGAGACACGGUCCAAACUCCUACGGGAGGCAGCAGUGAGGAAUAUUGGUCAAUGGGCGAUGGCCUGAACCAGCCAAGUAGCGUGAAGGAUGACUGCCCUAUGGGUUGUAAACUUCUUUUAUAAAGGAAUAAAGUCGGGUAUGCAUACCCGUUUGCAUGUACUUUAUGAAUAAGGAUCGGCUAACUCCGUGCCAGCAGCCGCGGUAAUACGGAGGAUCCGAGCGUUAUCCGGAUUUAUUGGGUUUAAAGGGAGCGUAGAUGGAUGUUUAAGUCAGUUGUGAAAGUUUGCGGCUCAACCGUAAAAUUGCAGUUGAUACUGGAUGUCUUGAGUGCAGUUGAGGCAGGCGGAAUUCGUGGUGUAGCGGUGAAAUGCUUAGAUAUCACGAAGAACUCCGAUUGCGAAGGCAGCCUGCUAAGCUGCAACUGACAUUGAGGCUCGAAAGUGUGGGUAUCAAACAGGAUUAGAUACCCUGGUAGUCCACACGGUAAACGAUGAAUACUCGCUGUUUGCGAUAUACGGCAAGCGGCCAAGCGAAAGCGUUAAGUAUUCCACCUGGGGAGUACGCCGGCAACGGUGAAACUCAAAGGAAUUGACGGGGGCCCGCACAAGCAGUGGAGUAUGUGGUUUAAUUCGAAGCAACGCGAAGAACCUUACCAGGUCUUGACAUCGUAUGCAUAGCUCAGAGAUGAGUGAAAUCUCUUCGGAGACAUAUAGACAGGUGGUGCAUGGUUGUCGUCAGCUCGUGUCGUGAGAUGUUGGGUUAAGUCCCGCAACGAGCGCAACCCCUGUUUCUAGUUGCCAGCACGUCAAGGUGGGAACUCUAGAAAGACUGCCGUAGAUAAUACGGAGGAAGGUGGGGAUGACGUCAAAUCAUCAUGCCCUUUAUGUCCUGGGCUACACACGUACUACAAUGGCGUUAAACAAAGAGAAGCAAGACCGCGAGGUGGAGCAAAACUCAGAAACAACGUCCCAGUUCGGACUGCAGGCUGCAACUCGCCUGCAUGAAGUCGGAAUUGCUAGUAAUCGCGGAUCAGCAUGCCGCGGUGAAUACGUUCCCGGGCCUUGUACACACCGCCCGUCACACCAUGAGAGCCGGGGGGACCCGAAGUCGGUAGUCUAACCGCAAGGAGGACGCCGCCGAAGGUAAAACUGGUGAUUGGGGUG
rnacentral:rRNA from 1 species